GUCUUGAGAUCUUCUAUAGAAUUAAUGUAGGCACAACUCCUUCAAUGAUGAAUCAGCACUAUCUAAUGAGAUCUUUUCUCUCUACUAAAGUCUUAUUUAAAUAAUUAACUUUUAUCUAUAGUGUAUGUCUUAGCUUCCCAGUUAUUCUUCAAACUCUCAGAGAAGCCCCUUCGCAUGUAUGCCUUUGCAUCGCCACUCCCAAAUGUCUCGACACAAGAGCUUAACCAAUAUGCACUAAUUGUAUUUGAAGGGAGGUGCUCACAUGGGAGAAACGCCUUCAGAUUGGAAAAUGAACGGUCUGAGUUGAAGUCACGCAAGGAAAAACUUGCUGGAAUAUUCAAGAAGUGGUGAUAGGAACUGGUGCAAUUUCUUUGUGAAACAGUCUAGCAAUAUCUGUUAAAGCUUGAAGACUCACAUAUGCUACAGCCCACAAGUCCAUUGCUAGAGAUGUAAAAUUCUCACACAAGCAGCAGAAAUUCAAUGAGAAAGUGCACGUCAACAUUUCCAUCAUCGUUAAAAAAAGAAAAUAAAUGUACAUCAAAAGAAAAAAAAAGGAAGAAAAAGAAGAAGAAGGAGAAGAAGAAUAGAUACAGUCGGAGCUGCUCCAACAGACCACUGCGAGCCCGCUGGUGAUAGUGUCCUACCAUUCCCUACUACACAACAUGGCGGCGCACUGGGGCAUACCACAGAACAGGUUUUUCAUACAAAUGUUGUGAAAGAUGUUCUACAAUUAAAAGAAAAAAUAAUUGAGCAGUAAUUCAAUCUCCUCCACGCUGCGUAUAAGAAUGUGGGGUGUAAAUGACAAGUGCAUGUGAGUAUCUUUUCCUUCCAUAUUAGUUAUUCAAAAUAUAGAUUGCUGCCAACAAACUUUUCAUAUUAGCAUAAGAAAACCAGUGUUACCAUGCCAAGCUAAUGAAGUAAUUCUCACCAAAAGGCAAAGAGACCUGAAUUUUUGUUAGCAUAGACAUUAUUAUCUGCGUAAAUGUACAAUUUCCGAGAGACUAUCUGAAAAACUGAAAAUACUGAAAGGUUGCAAAUAUCUCUGAUCUGACCUGGAAGUCCAGAUCUCUAGGUCAGCAAUCACUUUUCUAGAAGGUAAAUUAUAAUAUCAGUCUGUCAACAACAGAGAGGUUAAAAAAAAUAUUGCCUGAACUAUCUUUAUGCAUGAGGCAAACCCGAUGCUCAGAAGCGGCGUGAAGGCGACCUGAAGAGAAAUCUGUGUCAAAGAUGUUCAUCUUGGGUCCUAUUCCUACUUCCAAAGUGCUUGCUUCACAGUCCAGCCCCCUGUGCCAGUCAGCCAGGAAAGUUUCUUCUGAAGGGGUCUCAGUGGUGUCCACUCAGUGGCUUGGAGCUCCUCAUUACGAAGUAGCCAGGACACGUGCCCCUCAGUCGUCGGGAACUGUUGGAUGUCCUCUCCUGGCCAUCAGCCCUGACACCCGACUUCCUCCCACACUCUGUAGCCAGGCGUCUCAAGUACCUCUCCAUCCCAGCCCCUGGCAGAAAUAUAUGCUGAGCUUCCUCCAGGCCAAGAAGCAAAACAGAUGGACUGGACUCACUGCUCUACUCACUAGUCCACGCUGGUGGGCCCACUAGCGUGUCUAGUCCACUCGCUCCUUGGGCUGACUCCCUGGGAGCUGAGCUGGACCUGACGCUCCAUUUUCCUACCUCAGAAUCCACUUCUCUUUCCAUUUCUUCUUUGGAAGACAGGAAUUUUAAGGUCUUGGUAUAAAAUAAAAUGAA